UUAAGUUAUUAAGGGCGCACGGUGGAUGCCUUGGCACUAGAAGCCGAUGAAGGACGUUACUAACGACGAUAUGCUUUGGGGAGCUGUAAGUAAGCUUUGAUCCAGAGAUUUCCGAAUGGGGAAACCCAGCAUGAGUUAUGUCAUGUUAUCGAUAUGUGAAUACAUAGCAUAUCAGAAGGCACACCCGGAGAACUGAAACAUCUUAGUACCCGGAGGAAGAGAAAGAAAAUUCGAUUCCCUUAGUAGCGGCGAGCGAAACGGGAAGAGCCCAAACCAACAAGCUUGCUUGUUGGGGUUGUAGGACACUCUAUACGGAGUUACAAAGGACGACAUUAGACGAAUCAUCUGGAAAGAUGAAUCAAAGAAGGUAAUAAUCCUGUAGUCGAAAAUGUUGUCUCUCUUGAGUGGAUCCUGAGUACGACGGAGCACGUGAAAUUCCGUUGGAAUCUGGGAGGACCAUCUCCUAAGGCUAAAUACUCUCUAGUGACCGAUAGUGAACCAGUACCGUGAGGGAAAGGUGAAAAGCACCCCGGAAGGGGAGUGAAAUAGAACCUGAAACCGUGUGCUUACAAGUAGUCAGAGCCCGUUAAUGGGUGAUGGCGUGCCUUUUGUAGAAUGAACCGGCGAGUUACGAUUUGAUGCAAGGUUAAGCAGUAAAUGUGGAGCCGUAGCGAAAGCGAGUCUGAAUAGGGCGUUUAGUAUUUGGUCGUAGACCCGAAACCAGGUGAUCUACCCUUGGUCAGGUUGAAGUUCAGGUAACACUGAAUGGAGGACCGAACCGACUUACGUUGAAAAGUGAGCGGAUGAACUGAGGGUAGCGGAGAAAUUCCAAUCGAACUUGGAGAUAGCUGGUUCUCUCCGAAAUAGCUUUAGGGCUAGCCUCAAGUGAUGAUUAUUGGAGGUAGAGCACUGUUUGGACGAGGGGCCCCUCUCGGGUUACCGAAUUCAGACAAACUCCGAAUGCCAAUUAAUUUAACUUGGGAGUCAGAACAUGGGUGAUAAGGUCCGUGUUCGAAAGGGAAACAGCCCAGACCACCAGCUAAGGUCCCAAAAUAUAUGUUAAGUGGAAAAGGAUGUGGCGUUGCCCAGACAACUAGGAUGUUGGCUUAGAAGCAGCCAUCAUUUAAAGAGUGCGUAAUAGCUCACUAGUCGAGUGACACUGCGCCGAAAAUGUACCGGGGCUAAACAUAUUACCGAAGCUGUGGAUUGUCCUUUGGACAAUGGUAGGAGAGCGUUCUAAGGGCGUUGAAGCAUGAUCGUAAGGACAUGUGGAGCGCUUAGAAGUGAGAAUGCCGGUGUGAGUAGCGAAAGACGGGUGAGAAUCCCGUCCACCGAUUGACUAAGGUUUCCAGAGGAAGGCUCGUCCGCUCUGGGUUAGUCGGGUCCUAAGCUGAGGCCGACAGGCGUAGGCGAUGGAUAACAGGUUGAUAUUCCUGUACCACCUAUAAUCGUUUUAAUCGAUGGGGGGACGCAGUAGGAUAGGCGAAGCGUGCGAUUGGAUUGCACGUCUAAGCAGUAAGGCUGAGUAUUAGGCAAAUCCGGUACUCAUUAAGGCUGAGCUGUGAUGGGGAGAAGACAUUGUGUCUUCGAGUCGUUGAUUUCACACUGCCGAGAAAAGCCUCUAGAUAGAAAAUAGGUGCCCGUACCGCAAACCGACACAGGUAGUCAAGAUGAGAAUUCUAAGGUGAGCGAGCGAACUCUCGUUAAGGAACUCGGCAAAAUGACCCCGUAACUUCGGGAGAAGGGGUGCUCUUUAGGGUUAACGCCCAGAAGAGCCGCAGUGAAUAGGCCCAAGCGACUGUUUAUCAAAAACACAGGUCUCUGCUAAACCGUAAGGUGAUGUAUAGGGGCUGACGCCUGCCCGGUGCUGGAAGGUUAAGAGGAGUGGUUAGCUUCUGCGAAGCUACGAAUCGAAGCCCCAGUAAACGGCGGCCGUAACUAUAACGGUCCUAAGGUAGCGAAAUUCCUUGUCGGGUAAGUUCCGACCCGCACGAAAGGCGUAACGAUUUGGGCACUGUCUCAACGAGAGACUCGGUGAAAUCAUAGUACCUGUGAAGAUGCAGGUUACCCGCGACAGGACGGAAAGACCCCGUGGAGCUUUACUGUAGCCUGAUAUUGAAAUUCGGCACAGCUUGUACAGGAUAGGUAGGAGCCUUUGAAACGUGAGCGCUAGCUUACGUGGAGGCGCUGGUGGGAUACUACCCUAGCUGUGUUGGCUUUCUAACCCGCACCACUUAUCGUGGUGGGAGACAGUGUCAGGCGGGCAGUUUGACUGGGGCGGUCGCCUCCUAAAAGGUAACG
rnacentral:rRNA from 1 species